rnacentral:rRNA from 1 species
UACGUAGGCAGCGAGCGUUGUUCGGAAUUACUGGGCGUAAAGAGUGUGUAGGCGGUGCUCUAAGUUCGGUGUGAAAUCUCCUGGCUCAACUGGGAGGGUGCGCCGGAAACUGGAGUGCUUGAGCGUGGGAGAGGAAAGCGGAAUUCCUGGUGUAGCGGUGAAAUGCGUAGAUAUCAGGAGGAACACCUGUGGUGUAGACGGCUUUCUGGACCAUAGCUGACGCUGAGGCACGAAAGCGUGGGGAUCAAACAGG